AUGGAGAUCCUGCAGCUUUGGAUCAGCAGGACCAGCCUUUCACCUGCUCCAGUGGUUCACAGACAAUGUAGAUUUUGGGAUGACCAACUCAAAGCUCUGGAUUAGGGCCUGGAUAGAAGCUCAGAUGCUCAGCAUGCCAGCUCUCCCUUUUCUACACCACCAGGGUGAGCUCUCCAGCUCUGCUCCAGCUAGGUCAUCCAAUGCCUAGCCACUGGCAAGAGGCAGGUCAACUCUCCUGCUCUCAUGCCUUCACCUGCAUCCAGGCCUCUAGAGCUAGCUCUGUAAUGCCACCCAUUCAAAGCAUGGGGCCCACUCUCCCAAGUGCAUCCAGCAAGGGGCUGGACCAGUGCUCACACCGUUGAGUCUGGCUCACCUGCACGCUCUCCAUUUUUAAAUUUUGAUAUUGUUUUGGUUUGUUUGGCUGUCUUUAGAAAGUAUGUCUAGCUGUGUAAACCAGUCUGACCCUG
rnacentral:lncRNA from 1 species